CGGCUGAUCCUGUGUUUCAUUGAGUGCUUGCUUUCUGCCUCCAGGACCCCAGGGAGACCCAGGCCCGCCAGUACCCAGGGCCUGUGUGUGCAGAGUCCGGGUGUUGGAGGCCGCUGCGGAAGGGCUGGCACGGCGGGCUGGGCCGGGAGCCGCAGCGCCCCAGGCGUGGCGUGCCGAGUCUCAGCAGAGCAGACCGGGCUUGACGGACGCUGGCUCCGAGGAGGCCGGGCGAGCCCUCCAUUUUGGAAAGGCUCGGGAGACGUUGAAAGGAUCUGGCAAGGUUCAGGCCUGCUACAGAGAAUCGUAAAUAUGGUAGUAUGAGCUACUUACACCAUUCGGGCAGCUGUGGGAGAGGAAAAGAGGGAAGACGUCUUUGAUGUUGAUACACUCAUUGAAGGCACUCGUUGACCAGUCGGAUGUGAAGCCUGAGGAGAUUAUCGAUUCUGCCUCUAAGUAUGUUCUCUGUCUGCAUCCCACACUAGCGUGAUGAACACUGACCAGAUGGUUAGUUAUGGAGACGUCCAUCCUUGGAACCCAAAGCCUGCUUUCCAAGUCAGUGUGCUGGAGACUACUGGAGGCCACACCAGGCCCUUGGCUACCUUCUCUAUGGCCUCCAAAAGAGCAGCAGUAGCAGCAGCACCGAAUUUAAGGACCAUGUGAAACCCUGAAUUAACCCUUCAGGAUCUGACCUGGCUGUAGAAGUCUUUGGCUUUCCCAAUCCAAACCCAUCUUAUAGCAUUUGCUGAGUUACCUCACGUCACCAUCAUUCCGCACAGACACGCAAUACAUUCCUUCCAUGGCUACUGUGGCCGAUGCUUUUCCCAAAUGUUUGCUGUAAGCCAAAUAGCCAAGCCCCAGCACUCAUGUGCAGUUUCUGUUUUAAUAUCAGCAGAAUCACUUAA